rnacentral:sRNA from 1 species
GCCAGGCACAGUCACCCACACCUGUAAUCCCAGCUGCUCGGGAGGCUGAGGCAGGAGGAUCACAAGUUCAAAGCCAAUCUCAGCAAAAGCCAGGUGCCAAACAACUCAGUGAGAUCCUGUCUCUA